UCGUUGGAAUUAUGUGAAUAGGUAGUAUACCUUUGAGAAUUUUUUGCGAGUGGUGGCUGGCCAAACAAAAGUUCACACGAAUUGAUUCUUUCAUUCAUGCAUCAUUCCCUGGAGCUAAAUUUCAUGGGUGCAAUGGAUUGAGUGUCAAAUAUCAGUUACCUUAUGGAGAGCAUUCCUCGCUUGCUGACAUAUUUGGGCAUCUGGAAAAUAAUAGAAUGAAACUCGGUAUAGAAGAUUACAGCAUCAGCCAGGCAACGCUGGAGACCAUUUUUAACGACUUUGCUGGCGCCAUGUAGUGAACUACUAUCGUAAAAAGAUUUCCGUCGGUAUUAGAACGGCUUCCGGUGACACUCUCACCAUUCAUUUAAUAGCCAUAUUAUUUUAUUAUUGAUCAAUUAUGUGUUUAUUACAUUUUUGGAGUACAAGCGUUUUACUUAGCGUAAUAAAUUAACCAGCACUUAAUGUAAAAGCUGAUUCUUCUGUACAUAUACAAAAACAUAAACGUGCAUUGGCAGAUUCUGCAUCUAUAUCAAACUGUUGGAACAAAAUUUUUAUCAUUAUUAAGAUAUUACAGUUAUAUCAGAAUA